CCUACGGGAGGCAGCAGUGGGGAAUAUUGGGCAAUGGGCGCAAGCCUGACCCAGCAACGCCGCGUGAAGGAAGACGGCUUUCGGGUUGUAAACUUCUUUUCUGAGGGACGAAGACAGUGACGGUACCUCAGGACUAAGCCACGGCUACCUACGGGCCAGCAGCCGCGGUAAGACGUAGGUGGCAAGCGUUAUCCGGAUUCAUUGGUUGUAAAGGGGAUGUAGGCGGGAAAGUAAGUCAGAGGUGAAAACUCAGGGCUCAACCCUGAGCCUGCAUCUGAUACUGUUUGUCUUGAGUGCUGGAGAGGCAGUCGGAAUGUCGUGUGUAGCGGUGAAAUGCUUAGAGAUACGGAGGAACACCAGUGGCGAAGGCGGAUUACUGGACAGUAACUGACGCUGAGGCGCGAAAGCGUGGGGAGCAAACAGGAUUAGAUACCCGAGUAGUC
rnacentral:rRNA from 1 species